AGAUCACAUCACUUAGCUGUCAUUAUCAUUCUUCCAACCAGAACUGAUCUGGCAUGAAGGAGAGAGAAGAGGUGUAUGAGUGAAAUUCAUCUGACAAGAAAAAGAAAGCAAGAGCGCUACUGGGUUAGGGUCUCCCCGACCGAGCUGGUCUCAGCAAGUGGCAUCCAUCGGGGGGGCUUCAAUCCAGGUCAAAGGAUCGCUGGAGUGACAGUUGGAAUGGAAAACUAGCUGGAGGACACCCGAGCACUCUUAAAGCAAUCCCCAUGAUACAGCAUUACCUGGAAAGAAGCUAAAGCUAUUAUCCAGCAAUGCCCAACUUGCCAAAUGGUACAUUCCUCAUCUUUUACAGGAGGAGUUAAUCCUCGAGGACUGGAACCUAACUCUCUUUGGCAAAUGGAUGUCACACAUGUUCCCUCAUUUGGGAGACUAGCUUAUGUACAUGUAUGUGUGGACACCUUUUCUCACUUUGGGCUACAUGCCAAUCAGGAGAGUCUUCUGCCUGUGUUAAAUGUCAUCUUUUACAGUGUUUUGCAGUGAAGGGCAUU